CCUACGGGUGGCAGCAGUGGGGAAUAUUGCACAAUGGGGGAAACCCUGAUGCAGCGACGCCGCGUGAGCGAUGAAGUAUUUCGGUAUGUAAAGCUCUAUCAGCAGGGAAGAAGAUGACGGUACCUGACUAAGAAGCCCAGGCUAACUACGUGCCAGCAGCCGCGGUAAUACGUAGGGGGCAAGCGUUAUCCGGAUUUACUGGGUGUAAAGGGAGCGUAGACGGCGAUGGAAGUCAGAUGUGAAAGUCCCGGGCUCAACCCCGGGACUGCAUUUGGAACUGUGGGGCUGGAGAGUCGGAGAGGCAGGCGGAAUGCCUAGUGUAGCGGUGAAAUGCGUAGAGAUUAGGAGGAACACCAGUGGCGAAGGCAGCCUGCUGGACUAUGACUGACGUUGAGGCUCGAAAGCGUGGGGAGCAAACAGGAUUAGAUACCCGAGUAGUC
rnacentral:rRNA from 1 species